rnacentral:rRNA from 1 species
ACGCGUGAAGUUGACCGCCUGGGGAGUACGGCCGCAAGGCUAAAACUCAAAGGAAUUGACGGGGACCCGCACAAGCGGUGGAUGAUGUGGAUUAAUUCGAUGCAACGCGAAAAACCUUACCUACCCUUGACAUGUCAGAGAUCCCUGAGAGAUUGGGGAGUGCCGCAAGGAAUCUGAACACAGGUGCUGCAUGGCUGUCGUCAGCUCGUGUCGUGAGAUGUUGGGUUAAGUCCCGCAACGAGCGCAACCCUUGUCGUUAAUUGCCAUCAUUUGGUUGGGCACUUUAACGAGACUGCCGGUGACAAACCGGAGGAAGGUGGGGAUGACGUCAAGUCCUCAUGGCCCUUAUGGGUAGGGCUUCACACGUCAUACAAUGGUCGGCACAGAGGGUUGCGAAGCCGCGAGGUGGAGCCAAUCCCAGAAAGCCGAUCGUAGUCCGGAUUGGAGGCUGCAACUCGCCUCCAUGAAGUCGGAAUCGCUAGUAGUCGCGGAUCAGCAUGUCGCGGUGAAUACGUUCCCGGGUCUUGUACACACCGCCCGUCACACCAUGGGAGUGGGUUCUGCCAGAAGUAGGUAGCUUAACCGCAAGGAGGGCGCUUACCACGGCAGGGUUCAUGACUGGGGUGAAGUCG